GAUGAACGCUGGCGGCGUGCUUAACACAUGCAAGUCGAACGGGAAACCUUUUAUUGAAGCUUCGGCAGAUUUAGCUGGUUUCUAGUGGCGGACGGGUGAGUAACGCGUGGGUAACCUGCCUUAUACAGGGGGAUAACAGUCAGAAAUGGCUGCUAAUACCGCAUAAGCGCACAGAGCUGCAUGGCUCAGUGUGAAAAACUCCGGUGGUAUAAGAUGGACCCGCGUUGGAUUAGCUGGUUGGUGGGGUAACGGCCCACCAAGGCGACGAUCCAUAGCCGGCCGGGGGGGGUGAACGGCAAAAUUGGGACUGGGACACGUCCCAGACUCCGACGGGGGGCAGCAGGGGGGAAUAUUGCACAAUGGGGGAAACCCUGAUGCCGCGGCGCCGGGUAAAGGAAGAAGUAUCUCGGUAUGUAAACUUCUAACAACAGGGAAGAUAAGGCCGGUACCUGACAAAGAAGCCCCGGCUAACUAGGU
rnacentral:rRNA from 1 species